UACAGAGGGGGCAAGCGUUGUUCGGAAUUACUGGGCGUAAAGGGCGCGUAGGCGGCCUUCUAAGUCGAACGUGAAAUCCCCGGGCUCAACCCGGGAACUGCGUCCGAUACUGGAAGGCUUGAAUCCGGGAGAGGGAUGCGGAAUUCCAGGUGUAGCGGUGAAAUGCGUAGAUAUCGAGAGGAACACCUGAGGUGAAGACGGGUUGCUGGGCCGACACUGACGCUGAGUGCGCGAAAGCCAGGGGAGCAAACGGG
rnacentral:rRNA from 1 species